rnacentral:rRNA from 1 species
UACGAAGGGGGCUAGCGUUGCUCGGAAUCACUGGGCGUAAAGCGCACGUAGGCGGCUUUCUAAGUCAGGGGUGAAAUCCUGGAGCUCAACUCCAGAACUGCCUUUGAUACUGGAGAGCUUGAGUCCGGGAGAGGUGAGUGGAACUCCGAGUGUAGAGGUGAAAUUCGUAGAUAUUCGGAAGAAACACCAGUGGCGAAAGCGGCUCUCUGGAACGGUACUGACGCUGAGACGCGAAAAGCGUGGGGGAGCGAACAGGA